rnacentral:rRNA from 1 species
GAUGAACGCUAGCGGCAGGCUUAAUACAUGCAAGUCAAGGGGGUAGCAAUACAACCGGCGCACGGGUGAGUAACGCGUACACAACAUACCAUAUACUGGGGUAUAGCUUCGGGAAACUGGAGAUAAUCCCCCAUAACAUUGCGAGAGGGCAUCUGAUUGCAAUUAAAGUUUCGACGGUAUAUGAUUGGUGUGCGUUUGAUUAGCUUGUUGGUAGGGUAACGGCCUACCAAGGCGACGAUCAAUAGCUGGCGUGAGAGCGCGACCAGCCACACUGGAACUGAGACACGGUCCAGACUCCUACGGGAGGCAGCAGUAGGGAAUAUUGGACAAUGGGCGAAAGCCUGAUCCAGCCAUGCCGCGUGAUAGAUGAAGGCCUCUGGUUGUAAUAUCUUUUAUCUGGGAAGAAACUCCUCUAUUCUUAGAGGCCUGACGGUACCAGAGGAAUAAGCACCGGCUAACUCCGUG